rnacentral:rRNA from 1 species
CCUACGGGUGGCAGCAGUGAGGAAUAUUGGUCAAUGGGCGGAAGCCUGAACCAGCCAAGUAGCGUGCAGGAUGACGGCCCUACGGGUUGUAAACUGCUUUUAUACGGGAAUAACGCGCCUUACGUGUAGGGCUUUGCAUGUACCGUAUGAAUAAGGACCGGCUAAUGCCGUGCCAGCAGCCGCGGUAAUACGGAAGGUCCGGGCGUUAUCCGGAUUUAUUGGGUUUAAGGGGAGCGUAGGCCGCAUGUCAAGCGUGCUGUGAAAUGUCCGGGCUCAACCCGGGCCUUGCAGCGCGAACUGGCGUGCUUGAGUCCGCGGAAAGCAGGCGGAAUUCGUCGUGUAGCGGUGAAAUGCUUAGAUAUGACGAAGAACCCCGAUUGCGAAGGCAGCCUGCUGCAGCGGAACUGACGCUGAUGCUCGAAAGCGCGGGUAUCGAACAGGAUUAGAUACCCUUGUAGUC